rnacentral:rRNA from 1 species
CCUACGGGAGGCUGCAGUGAGGAAUAUUGGUCAAUGGGCGCGAGCCUGAACCAGCCAAGUAGCGUGAAGGAUGACUGCCCUACGGGUUGUAAACUUCUUUUAUAAAGGAAUAAAGUGAGGCACGUGUGCCUUUUUGUAUGUACUUUAUGAAUAAGGAUCGGCUAACUCCGUGCCAGCAGCCGCGGUAAUACGGAGGAUCCGAGCGUUAUCCGGAUUUAUUGGGUUUAAAGGGAGCGUAGAUGGGUUGUUAAGUUAGUUGUGAAAGUUUGCGGCUAAACCGUAAAAAUGCAAGUGUUACUGGCAGCCAUGAGUACAGUUGAGGUAGGCGGAAUGCGUGGUGUAGCGGUGAAAGGCUUAGAUAUCACGAAGAACUCCGAUUGCGAAGGCAGCCUACUAAACUGCCACUGACAUUGAUGCUCGAAAGUGUGGGUAUCAAACAGGAUUAGAUACCCUAGUAGUC